GGCGUUUAAAGGUUAAGUAAUUAAGUUAAGAGAAAAAAAUUCAUAUUGGUUUUUUAAUAAUUCAAGGCUAUUAGAAUUUGGAUAAUCUUUAACUUAUUAGCUAAAAAAAUAAAUAAAUGUUGGUACUCACAUUAGUGAGACGGGUGAGCCUGCUGAUUCUUGCACAGUUCUAUAUUUGGACGUAUGUUGGUAAGCUUAAGUCGGAGAUCGUCACAUACAUCGAGUCGAUUUUGGUACUUUGUUUUUAUUGGACUUACUGAUGCAAACCUUUUCUCACACAGAUAUGUAGAAGUGAAAGACGAUUGCCAUGUGUAAUUUCGAAACUCUGAGAUUUUCAGCUAUAGUGUGAUACGCAAUUCAUUUUAAUUUUAUUUUUUCUUCUGUCUUCUUUGAAGGACCACAAGGGCACACCUCGAGGACCACUUGUGGUCCGCGGACCAUAGUUUGAGAAACGCUGCUCCAUCCUGUUCGUGUGGGUUAACCAUUUAUGCACUGUAGUCAUCUGUUCUUUAAUUAAAUUAAUAAAUAUUGAUUAUUUCCCCUUUGGAACCAGGAUAUCUCAGUCAUAGUCACUAGCUAUGGGCUGGAUGACUGAGGAAUCUGAGUUCAGUUCCUGACAAGCACAAGAGGUCCCUUCUCUACCACAUCCACACCAGCUCUGGGGCCCACCCAACCUACUAUCCACUGAGUACCAGAGAUGCUUUUCCAGGGGUGAUGUGGCUAUUAUAUGCAGUGACCACUCACCUCCAUCUAGUGCUAAGAAGGCUUACAAAGAGUGAAGUACAUGUGGAACUGACGUUCUUACAGCAGUAACUAUGAAGAUUGCCAAAUUCUGGGUUGUAACUAAAUG